UUUCCUUCAAUAAUUUAAAAAUGGGAUUUAAGAAAUAAUAAUUUUAAAUUGAAAAUAGUUGUUCAUUUUCUAUUUGUAUUUUUAAAAGAAUAGAACAAUUGGGCAAAGGGAGUUGAAAUCCGUUGAGCAUAAAGUGGAAGGGCCUUGAAACUUGAAAGUCCACUCAAAGACUCCUCAACAUCAGAUUCACGCCACGCCACUGUCUUCUGAGAGAGAAAGGAAAAGAAAGAUUCAGCCAAACACUCACUGUUCGUCUCCGCUAUUUUCCACCUAUCUUGCGAUGUCUUUGUAUAUUGGCCAUCUCUCAUCUCGCACUCGUAGGAAUGAACUUGAGCAUGUUUUCCAAAGGUUUGGAAGAUGCAAUAUACGGCUGAAAGAUGGCUAUGGAUUUGUUGUGUAUGACUACCCUCCAAAUGCAGAGAAAGCUUUGAGAGUGCUUCAUGGAAGAAACAUCUGUGGGGAGCCAUUAACUCUCGCAUGGUCAAACAAACAGCCUAGACCUUUCAAAAAGAUUUCUAGGGCUGAUCGAUCCUAUGAUCAUGAGCCACUUAGAGUUAGGAGUUCUUCUAGAGGUGGAGAUUAUGGUAACAGAAAAUUGGAUUUAAAUGUUCAGCGAGAUUACAAGAUGAGUAUUGACCAACCGGAGAGUCAUGAUGUCAGGCUUAAUUCUGCUGACUUGCGUAAUGCAGAGAUAGACUACCAUCAAGACCAUGUUAACGAAUACACAAGGGAAGAAAAUCAUGACUGUGGGGAAGAUUUGCUGAAUGAAAGUGGUCGAGUUGUAACCAACCUGGUGGAUAGUGAUAGGUGGGAUGGACAAAGUCAUGAUCUGUCUAAGGGUAAUGAUGUUGAACACGAAAUGGAAUUUGACCGGUACAUAGGUUAUGACAGGAAAGAUGAUGAUGAAAACCAUCAAAUUGUGUACAGUGGUUCUGCUGCACAAUGCCCUCAAGAGAAAAUAGCAAGAGAGCUGAUAGGUGAAGGAACUUUGAACCAUCCUAAGGAUUCAAAAGUGCAUCAAGCUUGUUACAGCUGCGGUGCCUUGGGUCACAGAAAGCGUAAUUGUCCCUAUGAAAAAACUUCAAGAAGAUAUUUCUCUGGGUUUGACCACAGACAUGAUGGUGACAUCGGUAGAGGAGGUAGAGGGCAAGGUGGCAUGGAAACUUUUGGAUCCAAUAGUCGGGAAAAGCAGCAGCAAGAUAAGGAUCCCCUAAGAACAAAGCGAUCUGAGGAUACCAGGAAAGCAUCUGGUUCAGGAAAGCAUGGGAGAUUGAUAAAGAGUGGAAGCUCCCCUAUUGCAAAGGAAUCUGACAGGGCUUGGGAAAAGGACUAUGGAGGAAAGAAGCGGAGUAGGAGGAGAGAUAGAACUCCUAAAAGACAUAGUGCAAAGAAAGCAAGGCUGAUUUCUUCUUCACUUCAUCCUGAUUACAAUGCAUCUAGGUCACACUCAAAAUCUAAAUCCAUAAAGCAUAUGCCAAGGCCAAUUUCAUGGUCCAGAUCAAGAUCCAUAUCAUCCAGGGCUCACUCAUUAUCUACUAAUUUAAGAACCAGUUUAAUAUCUCAUUAUCCUAGAUCCAUAAGUUCUAAGUCUAGCUCAAUGUUAAGUUCUCCUACAUCAUUGUCUUUGUCUGUAUCCCUUAGUAGGCCCUUACCAUCACCUCUGAACAAGGUGCAGUUUAAUUUGAGGGGCACUCUGGAUAUGUCUAAUUCUCCUGAAUCCACGGAGAUUAUGGUUAGAGGAGAACCAGCAGAGGGUGAUGUUGAAUUGGAAAAUGCAAAUUUUGAAAAUAGAGUGGCUCUAGUGGAUAUGAAAAAUGCCAGGUCAUCUGCCUCUGUAGAAACUGAAGUGGAAAAGGACCAAGCUAUUCAGAGAGAUGAUAGUGAUAAUCAUAUGACAUCCAGGUCAGUGUCUCAAGCUAAAAAUCCAAGCACACCUGAUUCAGAGAAAGGUGCAUUUGCUGCUGGGUAUUUGUCUCCGGAGAGAUUGAGAGAGAUCAGGAGCAGUCAAGAUUUUGAUGCACUGACAACAAAGGAUGUGGUAUUACCACUUAUAAAAAUUGAUUCAGAGCUUACCUCCGGCUGUUCAACAAGCAUAUCUUUGGAGGAGUUGUGCAUGGUCAUGAAGCAUUAUGGCCUUGAACCUUCCGAUGAAAAUCAAAGGCAUCUAUCUGUUGAAGCUUACUUUGGUUCUGCAUGCAUGUGGCCUUGGGAGAUUAUCUAUUAUAGGAGGUUGAAGAAAGGUCCUAUUUCAACUGAGAACUAUGCCAGCCGAGUUGCGCAAAAUAAAGAAUUUGGUAUUGUUGACAAGUAUGUCAGAAGCAGUAGUGGAUGGGGAGAACUGAAUCGCCCUUGAAAAGCUUUGUAGACAAUGUGACAGCUUAUUUUAUGUCCUCUGAGAGCCUCAACAUUUUGGCCCUUUUUUAUAAUGGGUUUGGGAUUUUGCAAGAUAAAGAUCUGAGCAGACAUGUUAGGCUGAGGAUCAACCUCAAUGGAUUUGGAUUUGCAAUUGGCAGCAGCAGCGAGUCUUCCCUGGCCCUGAGGCACAAAAGAAAGACAGCUUCAUUGCCGUCUGAUUCCUGCAAGUUCAUAACUUUGGUGGAUGAUUGAGAGGCCCCAUUCUAUAUCAAAUUGCAACGUAGCUAGCUGAGUAGCCAAUCAUUACAUGGCGGGCCAAAGUCAAAGAAAAAUAGUACUCCUAUAGUCCUACUAGUAUUCCCCCAACGGCCCAAUACAUCUUCUAAAACUGCUCUCAAGUACAGGAAAAUCCAACCUUUUCGUCAUGGGAUUUACCCAUCUCUUCGGACCAGGUAAAAUUCAGUGAUCAUUCUUUUUCACUCAGUUGAACUGAGCAUUGUGUCACUGGCCCAUCAGCAGGAGCUGUGGCAUUUUCUGAUGUGAUAUAAAGCCACAAAAUAAUUGAGAAACCAAUAAAAAAAUCUAGAAUUGGA